rnacentral:rRNA from 1 species
GACGAACGCUGGCGGCGUGCUUAACACAUGCAAGUCGAACGGAAAGGCCCUGCUUUCAGGGUUCUCGAGUGGCGAACGGUUGAUUAACCCGUGGGUGCUCUGCCCUUCACUUCGGGCUAAUCCUUGUAAACUUUGUCUACUACCUUCUAGUCUCCAUUUUUAGCUUUAUGGUUGGAAAGUUUUUUCGUUGUAGUAUGCGCUCGCGUCCUAUCCUCUUGUUGGUGGGGUAAUGGCCUACCAAGGCGGCGACUGGUAGCCGGACUGAGAGGGUGGAAGGCCACAUUGGGACUGAGAGAGGGCCCAGACGCCUACGGGAGGCAGAAGUGGGAAAGAGUGAACAAUAGGCGCAAGCUUGAUGCAGCGAGGCUGCGUGGGGGAUGACGGCGUUCGGGAUGUAAACGCCGUUAGUUAGAGACGAUGCAAUAUGUGACGGUACCUAGAUAAGAAGCACCGGCUAAAUACGUG